rnacentral:rRNA from 1 species
AGAUUGAACGCUGGCGGCAUGCCUAACACAUGCAAGUCGAACGGGAGUAGCAAUACUCUAGUGGCGGACGGGUGAGGAAUACGUAGGAAUUUGCCCUUAAGUGGGGGAUAACCCGGGGAAACCCGGAUUAAUACCGCAUGACCUCGAAAGAGCAAAGUGGGGGAUCGCAAGACCUCACGCUUUUGGAGAAGCCUACGUCGGAUUAGCUAGUUGGUGAGGUAAUGGCUCACCAAGGCGACGAUCCGUAACUGGUCUGAGAGGAUGAUCAGUCACACCGGAACUGAGACACGGUCCGGACUCCUACGGGAGGCAGCAGUGGGGAACUA